rnacentral:rRNA from 1 species
UAAUACCGCAUACGUUUUACGGAAGAAAGUGGGGGACCGCAAGGCCUCAUGCUUUUGGAGCGGCCGAUAUCUGAUUAGCUAGUUGGUGGGGUAAAGGCCCACCAAGGCGACGAUCAGUAGCUGGUCUGAGAGGACGACCAGCCACACUGGGACUGAGACACGGCCCAGACUCCUACGGGAGGCAGCAGUGGGGAAUUUUGGACAAUGGGGGCAACCCUGAUCCAGCAAUGCCGCGUGAGUGAAGAAGGCCUUCGGGUUGUAAAGCUCUUUUGUCAGGGAAGAAAAGGUUCCGGCUAAUAUCCGGAGCUGAUGACGGUACCUGAAGAAUAAGCACCGGCUA